AACGCUGGCGGCGUGCCUAAUACAUGCAAGUCGAGCGGAAUGAUGAAGAAGCUUGCUUCUUCUGAUUUUAGCGGCGGACGGGUGAGUAACACGUGGGCAACCUACCUUGUAGAUUGGGAUAACUCCGGGAAACCGGGGCUAAUACCGAAUAAUCCAUUUUGCUUCAUGGCGAGAUGUUGAAAGACGGUUUCGGCUGUCACUACAAGAUGGGCCCGCGGCGCAUUAGCUAGUUGGUAGGGUAAUGGCCUACCAAGGCGACGAUGCGUAGCCGACCUGAGAGGGUGAUCGGCCACACUGGGACUGAGACACGGCCCAGACUCCUACGGGAGGCAGCAGUAGGGAAUCUUCCACAAUGGACGAAAGUCUGAUGGAGCAACGCCGCGUGAGUGAAGAAGGUUUUCGGAUCGUAAAACUCUGUUGUAAGGGAAGAACACGUACGAGAGUAACUGCUCGUACCUUGACGGUACCCUAUUAGAAAGCCACGGCUAACUACGUG
rnacentral:rRNA from 1 species